rnacentral:rRNA from 1 species
ACGCGCCUCUACGGGGCAGCAGUUGGCAAUUGCCAAUGGGCCAAGCUGAUGCAGCAUGCGCGUGUAUGAGAGCUCGGUUGUAAGUACUUCAGCGGGGAGGAGUGUGUGUAUAACCACAGCAUUGACGUACCCGCAGAGAGCACCGGCUAACUCCGUGCAGCAGCGCGGCAAUACGGAGGGUGCAAGCGUUAAUCGGAAUUACUGGGCGUAAAGCGCACGCAGGCGGUCUGUCAAGUCGGAUGUGAAAUCCCCGGGCUCAACCUGGGAACUGCAUUCGAAACUGGCAGGCUAGAGUCUUGUAGAGGGGGGUAGAAUUCCAGGUGUAGCGGUGAAAUGCGUAGAGAUCUGGAGGAAUACCGGUGGCGAAGGCGGCCCCCUGGACAAAGACUGACGCUCAGGUGCGAAAGCGUGGGGAGCAAACAGGAUUAGAUACCCUGGUAGUCCACGCUGUAAACGAUGUCGACUUGGAGGUUGUGCCCUUGAGGCGUGGCUUCCGGAGCUAACGCGUUAAGUCGACCGCCUGGGGAGUACGGCCGCAAGGUUAAAACUCAAAUGAAUUGACGGGGGCCCGCACAAGCGGUGGAGCAUGUGGUUUAAUUCGAUGCAACGCGAAGAACCUUACCUACUCUUGACAUCCACGGAAUUCGCCAGAGAUGGCUUAGUGCCUUCGGGAACCGUGAGACAGGUGCUGCAUGGCUGUCGUCAGCUCGUGUUGUGAAAUGUUGGGUUAAGUCCCGCAACGAGCGCAACCCUUAUCCUUUGUUGCCAGCACGUAAUGGUGGGAACUCAAAGGAGACUGCCGGUGAUAAACCGGAGGAAGGUGGGGAUGACGUCAAGUCAUCAUGGCCCUUACGAGUAGGGCUACACACGUGCUACAAUGGCAUAUACAAAGAGAAGCGAACUCGCGAGAGCAAGCGGACCUCAUAAAGUAUGUCGUAGUCCGGAUUGGAGUCUGCAACUCGACUCCAUGAAGUCGGAAUCGCUAGUAAUCGUAGAUCAGAAUGCUACGGUGAAUACGUUCCCGGGCCUUGUACACACCGCCCGUCACACCAUGGGAGUGGGUUGCAAAAGAAGUAGGUAGCUUAACCUUCGGGAGGGCGCUUACCACUUUGUGAUUCAUGACUGGGGUGAAGUCGUAACAAGGUAACCAAGGGCGAAUCGCGCCGCUAUC